rnacentral:rRNA from 1 species
CUGGUUGAUCCUGCCAGUAGUCAUAUGCUUGUCUCAAAGAUUAAGCCAUGCAUGUCUAAGUAUAAGCAAUUAUACCGCGAAACUGCGAAUAGCUCAUUAAAUCAGUUAUCGUUUAUUUGAUAGUACCUUACUACAUGGAUAACCGUGGUAAUUCUAGAGCUAAUACAUGCUAAAAAUCCCGACUUCGGAAGGGAUGUAUUUAUUAGAUUAAAAACCAAUGCCCUUCGGGGCUCUCUGGCGAUUCAUAAUAACUUCUCGAAUCGCACGGCCUUGCGCCGGCGAUGGUUCAUUCAAAUUUCUGCCCUAUCAACUUUCGACGGCUGGGUCUUGGCCAGCCGUGGUGACAACGGGUAACGGAGGGUUAGGGCUCGACCCCGGAGAAGGAGCCUGAGAAACGGCUACUACAUCCAAGGAAGGCAGCAGGCGCGCAAAUUACCCAAUCCCGACACGGGGAGGUAGUGACAAUAAAUACUGAUACAGGGCUCUUUCGGGUCUUGUAAUUGGAAUGAGUACAAUUUAAAUCCCUUAACGAGGAACAAUUGGAGGGCAAGUCUGG